rnacentral:rRNA from 1 species
AUUGAACGCUGGCGGCAGGCCUAACACAUGCAAGUCGAGCGAGAGGCGGACGGGUGAGUAAUGUAUGGGGACUGCCCGAUAGAGGGGGAUAACUACUGGAAACGGUGGCUAAUACCGCAUACUAUCGGAUAACCCAUAUGGGAUUAGCUAGUAGGUGGGGGAAAGGCUCACCUAGGCGACGAUCUCUCGCCGGUCUGAGAGGAUGCCCCGCCACACUGGGACUGAGACACGGGCCAGACUCCUAGGGAGGAAGAAGUGGGGAAUAUUGCACAAUGGGGGCAAGCCUGAUGCAGCCAGGCCGCGUGUAUGAAGAAGGCCUUAGGGUUGUAAAGUACUUUCAGCGUGGAGGCGUUACCAGCAGAAGAAGCCCCGGCUAACUCCGUGCCAGCCGCCGCGGUAAUAC